rnacentral:rRNA from 1 species
GACGAACGCUGGCGGCGUGCUUAACACAUGCAAGUCGAGCGGUAAGGCCCUUUCGGGGGUACACGAGCGGCGAACGGGUGAGUAACACGUGGGUGACCUGCCCUCAGCUCUGGGAUAAGCCCGGGAAACUGGGUCUAAUACUGGAUAUGACUCCACGGUGCAUGUCGUGGGGUGGAAAGCCUUGUGCGGCUGAGGAUGGGCCCGCGGCCUAUCAGCUUGUUGGUGGGGUGAUGGCCUACCAAGGCGACGACGGGUAGCCGGCCUGAGAGGGCGACCGGCCACACUGGGACUGAGACACGGCCCAGACUCCUACGGGAGGCAGCAGUGGGGAAUCUUGCGCAAUGGGCGAAAGCCUGACGCAGCGACGCCGCGUGAGGGAUGACGGCCUGGU